rnacentral:pre_miRNA from 1 species
ACAACAUUCGGACCGUCGGUCCACCGAGCAAUAUCACCCGCUCGGUGGAGAUCUUCCCUUUGUCGU